rnacentral:lncRNA from 1 species
GUGGAGCUCGGCGGUGUUGGCUGAGCAGGCUGCGGGGUCGGGAGAGGGGAGGCGCCUGGGCCGGCUCCAAUGUCUUCGCGUGCAUGGGGCCCGAGGAACGGGCUGCUCCCCUGUCGUGCAGGCUUCCUAGAAUCUCUGGCACCUCUGCGGGGAUGCGGUGGUGUGGGUGGCCGGCCCAGCGGCCAAGCCUCCCCUGCGCCUCGCGGUUGGGUGCGGGCUUCCCAGGGUAGGCUGCGGGAGCGGCUCCCAGCCUCACGGGAACCUCAACUCCCUGCGGCUCACCCCAGCCUGCGGUACAAGGCGUAGCAAAGAACCUCGAGAGUAGCUGUUGCUUCGUUCGUUUGAUACGUUGCAGAUUUUAGGAGCAUUAACGCCCAUCAUGUUUUCUAUCGCCCCAGGGAGAGGAAGCAGGUGUAGACAGCAGCAAGAGGGAGUUGUGAUGAGGGAAUUAUCUCUGUAGCGUAGAUGUGUGCUCACGUUCUCUGAGGAGUUUUGAAAUCAGUAUUGUUUCCGUUGCCCUGAAUGGUUACAAGGAGAGAACACUGGACUUGGAGUCAGAAAACUUUCAUCCAAGUCAUUCCCUGCUCUAAGUCCCAUUUCUGUUCCAUGAGAUUGUUU